AGUGAACGCUGGCGGUAGGCCUAACACAUGCAAGUCGAACGGCAGCACAGUAAGAGCUUGCUCUUACGGGUGGCGAGUGGCGGACGGGUGAGGAAUACAUCGGAAUCUACUUUUUCGUGGGGGAUAACGUAGGGAAACUUACGCUAAUACCGCAUACGACCUACGGUUGAAAGCAGGGGAUCUUCGGACCUUGCGCGAUUGAAUGAGCCGAUGUCGGAUUAGCUAGUUGGCGGGGUAAAGGCCCACCAAGGCGACGAUCCGUAGCUGGUCUGAGAGGAUGAGCAGCCACACUGGAACUGAGACACGGUCCAGACUCCUACGGGAGGCAGCAGUGGGGAAUAUUGGACAAUGGGCGCAAGCCUGAUCCAGCCAUACCGCGUGGGUGAAGAAGGCCUUCGGGUUGUAAAGACCUUUUGUUGGGAAAGAAAAGCAGCAGGUUAAUACCCCGCUGUUCUGACGGUACCCAAAGAAUAAGCACCGGCUAACUUCGUG
rnacentral:rRNA from 1 species